CGCCUGUUUAACAAAAACAUUUCUUUUUGUGUGUUUAAAAGGUAUCUUCUGCCCUAUGAUUAUUAUUAAAUGGCUGCAGUAUAUUGACUGUGCAAAGGUAGCAUAGUAAUUAGUUUCUUAAUUGGAAGCUUGUAUGAAUGGAUGUAUGAGAAAUAUGUUUUAUUAAUUUUACUAUUAAAAAUUAAAUUUUAAGUCAAAAUGCUUAAUUAUUUUUCUGGGACGAUCAGACCCUAUAGAACUUUAUAUUACCUAGUUAUAGUUUAUUUUUGAUUAUAAUACUAUCUUAAUAUUACAGUACUUUUGCUGGGGUGGUGGAUAAAUUUAAACUUUAUAUAAUAAUAUCAAUUAUUAAUGAAUGUUAAGAUCUUACAACUUAGAUUAAAAGAUAAAGUUACCUUAGGGAUAACAGCGUAAUUAUUAUGGGAAGGUUAUAAUUUAUAUAAGUUUUGCGACCUGAAUGUUGAAUUAAGGAAUAGUUUGAGAAGCAUUUCUCUAGUUUAAGUCUGUUCGACUUUUAAAUUCUUACUUGAUCUGAGUUCAGACCGG
rnacentral:rRNA from 1 species